GAAAGGGGAUACGCAGCUUAAUCACUUAGCUCUUUUAAGAGCUCUGCCUGACUCCUGCCUUGGAUCCAGUGGAUUUGAAUAAGCAACUCCACUACUACAAAGCGACUUGCCGGGAAGAAAAGGACGUCUCCAACAGCUGAUACCCUCCUACUACCUGGGUAGCCGUUACAUAUGCUAACGGCCAAAAGCCGCUAGCAUUCAUAUGGUAGUUUCAUGAACAGUGACUUUAGAC